UCCCACCGAAGCUAUUGCUAUCAAACUUGAAAUACAAUCUUAUUAGUUUGUUUUAUGUCUUUACAAAUGUUCAAUACAUAUGUUUUGUGGAAACCUGAACUCAGAAUCGUCUAUAAUGUACCACUUCUAUAAAACAUAAGCGAUCAAUAUGUUUGGUUUAAACUUAUUUAUAACGACAUAGUAACAUAUUCACAUGUUACAUGACAUUAACAUAGGAUCAAUAUGUUUCAAUUAUGGUCCUCUUCCAAUUAGAAUAUGACUAUAGUACCUUGGCCUUAUUGAAUAUUAACAAUUUUCCCAUGGUGGCUUACUUUAUCCUGUCAAGCACUGGAAUAGUCGAGCGCGCUGUCUUCUGACAGCUCUUGUUGUUUUUCUCAUCGACAUUUCCAUUUUAACAUUUAGUAGCCAAAAGAGUCCAAGUCCCCUUGAUCUCGCAAGAACGUACUGCCAGAAUUACGUUGAUCACCAGGUUUUGAAGUAAAAACCGUCAAUGAUGUCAUAGGCGAAGGAGUCUUUGCCACUAAGCCUUUUAAAAAAGGAGACUUUCUUCUCGAAUACAAAGGGGAUCUGAUAACAUGAGUAAAACAUGCACGGCCAUUAGAAAAGGAGUAUGAAAAGGAGGGUCAAGGCAGCUUCAUUUACUUUUUUUAAUUCAGAGAUAAAUCUUGCUGCAUGGACGCUACCAACGAUAUAUUUCAUGAGGGUCGAAUGAUAAAUGAUGCCGAAAAUGGAGACGCAAAACAAAAUUGUGUAAUGAAAAUAGUUGGAGUCAACCAAACUCCCCAUCUAUGCACUUUCGCCGACAGAGACAUUGCAAUUGGCGAGGAACUCCGAUAUGAUUAUUGAGUACCAACACUUCCAUGGAGAAAGGCAACACGAUGACUACUAGAUCUACGGACAGUCAGGAACCAGGACAAACAACAUACAUACACACGGACGAAGUCGAUGAGACGGCAACACAAUGACUACUAGAUCUACGGACAGCCAGGAACCAGGACAAACAACAUCCGUACACACGGAAGAAGUCGAUGAGACGAAAAGGGUACUUCAAAUACUAGGAGAACAAAACAAGCAGCCAAAAAGCAAUGGAGUGAAAACGAAAAAGGAGCUGUUCACAGACAGGUUGAUCGUUUUUUGAUAAUGGGUAAAUAACCAGGGCAAAACGAAAUACUUGCAUGUUUUGAAAGUGAGAAUGACCUUCACAACAGAAGUUGGAAAAAUGUCAAAGACUUUUGCAGAAAUUUAAUUGAAACAAAAAAGCGACGGGGACUUUUAACUUAAAAAAAAAUUACACAUAUAAUGCACGUUGAGGAGAAUACGUUAAAGGAUGAAGUUGCCACAUGUGUUUUGUGUGUUUUCUUGUUCUAUAUACGCUUUUUGAAAACGAUAUAUGUGUGCUUAUUGUAUUUGAAUGUUUUAUUAAUACGGUUCAGUCAAAAACGAUAUUUGUUCAUAAUCAUAUCGCCGAAAAAAUUAGGAUUGGUAUAUAGUUCGGCAAAAGAGUGUUUCUUUGUACUUUCUAUUACGAGUUUCUACGAGUUACUCACUAUACAAGUUAUUUUUUACCCUAAACUUGGUGAAUAUGAAUGAAUAUAGCAAACAUGAUAACAAAUCAAUCUAGAAGGCUAAACGUUCAGAGAAGGCACACAAAAAUUCAGUCGGAUAAAUGGAAACAAACAUUUUGUUCAAGUAUAACAAACAAACACUUUUAGAUGUAAUAAGAUAAAUGUAAAUAACAUAAAAAAACUACUGCUAAACUACUGCUACAAUAUGAAGAAUACAAAUGAACAUUUUGUCAAUUUUACAAAAUUUGUUUUGAAUGGCAGGUGUCUGACUUGCAGUUGAGUACUUGAAAGUUAUUUUAAAGUAAAAAUUUACCAAAAUGUAAAUUAUUGCGUAAAUAUCGCACUAGAAUUGAUUAAAUAGUUGUUAAAUAUUACAAUAAUUUCCUUCACAGAUUUUUGUGCAUUUGU